rnacentral:rRNA from 1 species
UACGUAGGGGGCGAGCGUUGUUCGGAAUUACUGGGCGUAAAGGGCGUGUAGGCGGUGCGGUAAGUCGGGCGUGAAAUCCCCGGGCUUAACCCGGGGGGGUCGUUCGAAACUACCGUGCUGGAGUGUGGGAGAGGUGCGUGGAAUUCCCGGUGUAGCGGUGGAAUGCGUAGAGAUCGGGAGGAACAUCGGUGGCGAAGGCGGCCAGCUGGGCCGUUGCUGACGCUGAGGCGCGAAAGCGUGGGGAGCAAAC